AACGAACGCUGGCGGCAUGCCUAACACAUGCAAGUCGAACGAGAACUUCGGGUCUAGUGGCGCACGGGUGCGUAACGCGUGGGAACCUGCCCUUAGGUUCGGAAUAACUCCCCGAAAGGGGUGCUAAUACCGGAUAAUGUCUUCGGACCAAAGAUUUAUCGCCUUUGGAUGGGCCCGCGUUGGAUUAGCUAGUUGGUAGGGUAAAAGCCUACCAAGGCGACGAUCCAUAGCUGGUCUGAGAGGAUGAUCAGCCACACUGGGACUGAGACACGGCCCAGACUCCUACGGGAGGCAGCAGUGGGGAAUAUUGGACAAUGGGCGAAAGCCUGAUCCAGCAAUGCCGCGUGAGUGAUGAAAGCCUUAGGGUUGUAAAGCUCUUUUACCCGGGAUGAUAAUGACAGUACCGGGAGAAUAAGCUCCGGCUAACUCCGUG
rnacentral:rRNA from 1 species